GAUGAACGCUGGCGGCGUGCCUAAUACAUGCAAGUCGAGCGAACAGACGAGGAGCUUGCUCCUCUGACGUUAGCGGCGGACGGGUGAGUAACACGUGGAUAACCUACCUAUAAGACUGGGAUAACUUCGGGAAACCGGAGCUAAUACCGGAUAAUAUAUUGAACCGCAUGGUUCAAUAGUGAAAGACGGUUUUGCUGUCACUUAUAGAUGGAUCCGCGCCGCAUUAGCUAGUUGGUAAGGUAACGGCUUACCAAGGCAACGAUCCGUAGCCGACCUGAGAGGGUGAUCGGCCACACUGGAACUUAGACACGGUCCAGACUCCUACGGGAGGCAGCAGUAGGGAAUCUUCCGCAAUGGGCGAAAGCCUGACCGAGCAACGCCGCGUGAGUGAAGAAGGUCUUCGGAUCGUAAAACUCUGUUAUUAGGGAAGAACAAAUGUGUAAGUAACUAUGCACGUCUUGACGGUACCUAAUCAGAAAGCCACGGCUAACUACGUG
rnacentral:rRNA from 1 species